AGCGAACGCUGGCGGCAGGCCUAACACAUGCAAGUCGAACGGAACUUUCGGGGUUAGUGGCGGACGGGUGAGUGCCACCUGGGGAGGUGCCUUUAGGUUAGGUGUCCCUCAGGGAAGGAUGAGCUCAUGAAGCAUGUGCUAUUCGGGGGUAGGAUUUCUCGCGGUUGGAGCGGCGCGGGUAUGUUUCGCUGGUUGGGUGAGGUAAUGGCUCAUCACGGCGACGAUCAGUAGCUGGUCUGAGAGGAUGAUCAGCCACAUUGGGACUGAGACACGGCCCAAUCUCCGACGGGGGGCAGCAGUAUGGAAUCUUGCGCGAUGAGCGAUAGCCUAACGCAGCCACGCCGGGUGUAUGAGGAAGCGCGUAGGAAUGUAAAAUUCUUUCACCCGAGACGUGAAUGACGGUACCCGGAGAAGAAGCCCCGGCUAACUUCGUG
rnacentral:rRNA from 1 species